rnacentral:lncRNA from 1 species
UCUUGGAAUCAUUUAGUAUUCUAAAAUACUCUCUAAAUAAAAAUAAUUUUAGAAGUCGACGAAGAGCCACCUACUUUCCAAGAGAAACUGUUGGUGACCGUUGGAGUUUCAACGACGAAAGAAACCAUCAUCUGUUCAUCACAACUUGUGAAGACAAUAAAGAUACACAUAAAAUAGAUAUACAAACUGAAGAGAGAAAACACAUGGAGUGAAUAAGGAGAAAAAAAAAAAGAGAAUUG